ACUCAGGUCGGGUAGUAUUAGCCUCGUAGGCGUGGGUGGUAACAUGUAUCUCAAUAGGGCGGGCCUGCUUGAGUUGCAUGCCAGUGGGGUCACUCUCAGUGAACCCACUGGGUGUAGUCCCCGAGACCGCUGUCGACUGCUUGUGUCGGCAGGGGUCUGAAGAACUUAGACUUUUAUUGUUGAAUUAUCUGAUUAUCUCU
rnacentral:lncRNA from 1 species